GACAGAGGGUGCAAACGUUGUUCGGAAUUACUGGGCGUAAAGCGCGUGUAGGCGGCUUGGCAAGUCGGGUGUGAAAUCCCGGGGCUCAACCCCGGAAGUGCACUCGAAACUGCUUGGCUGGAGUCCUGGAGAGGAAGGUGGAAUGCUUGGUGUAGAGGUGAAAUUCGUAGAUAUCAAGCGGAACACCCGUGGCGAAGGCGGCCUUCUGGACAGUGACUGACGCUGAGACGCGAAAGCGUGGGGAGCAAACAGG
rnacentral:rRNA from 1 species